GAGGCUGACCAGACAGUCGCCGCUUUGUUGCCGUCCUCUUUCGGGGGGAGACAGACAGAGGGGAGGAAAGUCCGGGCUCCAUAGGGCAGGGUGCCAGGUAACGCCUGGGGGGCGAGAGUCUACGACCAGUGCAACAGAGAGCAAACCGCCGAUGGCCCAUUUAUGGGAUCAGGUAAGGGUGAAAGGGUGCGGUAAGAGCGCACCGCGCGGCUGGCAACAGUCCGUGGCACGGUAAACUCCACCCGGAGCAAGGCCAAAUAGGGGUUCACUAGGUACGGCCCGUACUGAACCCGGGUAGGCUGCUUGAGCCAGUGAGCGAUUGCUGGCCUAGAUGAAUGACUGUCCACGACAGAACCCGGCUUAUCGGUCAGUUUCACUU
rnacentral:RNase_P_RNA from 1 species